rnacentral:rRNA from 1 species
UACGUAGGGAGCAAGCGUUGUCCGGAAUCAUUGGGCGUAAAGCGCGCGUAGGUGGCCCGGUAAGUCCGCUCUGAAAGUCACAGGCUCAACCUGUGAAAGCGGGUGGAUACUGCCGGGCUAGAGUCCGGAAGAGGCGAGUGGAAUUCCUGGUGUAGCGGUGGAAUGCGCAGAUAUCAGGAGGAACACCGAUUGCGAAGGCAGCUCGCUGGAACGUUACUGACGCUGAGACGCGAAAGCGUGGGGAGCAAACAGG